GGAAUGCUUCCUCCAGCGAAGUAGUAGUUGUGUACAGGGGAAAAGGCGAAUCUGUUUUAUCUCUAUCCUUCUUAAUUCUCGAGUCAUCGAUGUUCGCUGGGUGGAGAUGCUUAAAACUCAAGUGUUUCCCCUGCUUCUCAGUAGAACCUUUUAUCAGUGGCAUUAUGGGGAAGAAAUGAGCUCUUGUAGCUCAGCCAUAAAAAAAAAGCACAAAGAGAUGAUGAUGGUCCUUCUGGAUUCAUGCUGACAUAUGCUUCAAGUUAUUAAAUUAUUUACUCUGAAUAGCUGCCCAUCAUCCACAUAAUCAUUCCGUAAGGCGAUGCCUGGAACCCACCUUGGUUUGCCAAUUAAUUACUUCCUAUUUAAAAAUUGAUAUGAAAUUGUUUAGUUUGUAGGGAUAAAUGAAUGCUAAUCUAAGAGUACUAUAAACACCCAAAUAAUCAGUGUUAAAACAGUAGAUACUUACUCCCUCCGUGCGAAAAAAUGCCAUAUAUGCUUGACAUCUAAUUUGAUAAAAAAUGUUACCCUUAAUCAAAUUUCCAAAAUGCCCAAUUAAGGAAACCUGUUGACCACAGUGAACUUCUGCAGUAAUGGUUUUUGUGCAUUUUUUCUUUUGUUUUGUUGUGAUAAUGUUCAGUAAAGUAGAGAUUAAUCUUCAUUUUUAGAAGUUUGUUGAACAAUUAUUGUUUUGAAUUUUAUAAAGGUGUAUUAAUCAUCAUACGGUUUUGUAUUAGAAAAUUGAAGCCUUAUGUAUUUCAUUAUUUUAAAAAAAAUGUUUGACACUUCUCUUAAAAA